GGCAACGCCGGAUCCUUAACCCACUGAGCAAGGCCAGGGAUCGAACCCGCAACCUCAUGCUUCCUAGUCAGAUUCAUUAAUCACUGAGCCACAAUGGGAACUCCACUACUUUCUAACAAUUGCCACAUGGAAGCCUCUUUGAACAAUGCCACAAACACGUAAUGACUAAACAGAGGGGCUAGUUGUCUUGUGACCUUUUGGGAAGCAGAGUACCCUCUCCUGGGAGGCGAUGCCAACCUGACAAGUGAACUCAACUCAAGCUUUUCAACCCAUCAAGCUGGCCUUGGCAAAUUCACCAAAUCCAUGCCCACUUCAAGUCUCCUAAGUCUUUUUUACACAUACCACGUGACUAAGCCACAGCCCCAUCUUCCUACAGUUUGCAGAAGUGCUUAAGAUGCCAAGAAUAGGAUCACAGUGUGGUCCUGUAAGUUUCUACUUAGAUUCAGCUCCUUAUUCGAAUCUCGCCCCUCCCCACAUCAUCCUGGACUCUUAGUUCCAGGUCUUACCUUAUCCACUGUCCAAUCCUGAUUCAUACAAUUGUAAUAAUCACACCUGCCUGUCUUAUUUAAGCUACAUAUAAAAAUGUUGAAGGUUUCAGAUUCUAGAACAAUGUCCAUUUUCAAGUUCCAGUUGACAUAAGAAAACAUCAUCACCCGGGGAUCUUUCCUUCCAAUAAGCGUCCUUGUAUUGACCCCAAAGUUUCCUGCAGGCUCACCUGAAGCUGGACCUACACACAAAUGCAAACACAGAGGUGCAGGGCUCAAGAACCUGCAAGAGUGCAGUCACUCAGGCAGGUUCCAAGAUUCAUGCUCCUUCCCGACUGCCUAGAAGGGAACGACUCCCCACGAUUCCACCCCACCUACACAUGGGCUCCUGGACAGCCCCAUUUUCACCACAUCUGCAGGAGAAGCCGGCGCUCCUGACAAAAGUGAAAAGGCUGCUGCCAACAUAAUUCCAACUGAAAUGCUUUCACUCUUUUGGAGCGUAUCGGUGGAUGGUUAAUUUUAUGUAUCAGCUUGGCUGGGCCAUGGUGCCUGGACAUGGGAUCCAAUAUUAUUCCGAAUACCUCUGUGGAGGGAUCUCUGGGGUGAGACUGACAUUUGAGUUGGUGGACUAGGAAUAAAGCAGACGGCCUUUUGUGGGGCAUCCUGUUCAUCCCAUCAGCUGAGGCCUUAACAGAACAAAAGACUGACCUCCCCAGAAAAGAGGGAGUUGUGCCACCAGACAGCCUUCAGCCGUGAACUGCAAUGUCAGCUCUUCUCCAGCAGCAGGAUAGUCUUUGGACUUGAACUGCAACGUAGGAUCUUCCUUGGGUCUCUAGCCUGAUGGGCUUCAGAUAGGAACUGCAGAUUUUGGACUUGCCAGAAUACAGAUUAUGUAUUAUAUUAUUAGUAUUUUAUAUCACAUGUUGUAUAUAUGAUAUACAUUAUACAUAGGUACAUCCUGGAAAAUUUUAACACAAUUUUAUCAUAUUUUAAUAUGAAAAGUACAAAAAUGCAAUAAAACAUUGCACAAAGACACUCUUAAACCCAUAAUCCUCCAAAUUAAUCACUGAGGACCAUUGUAAAUCAACCCUACUUUAAUUUUAAACAUUUUAAAAAUAAAUAUUUUUUAAAAAAUUAUUAAUUAUAUCCUAAUAGCCUCUUCAUUCUCUUUAAGUGACUCGUGUCCAUUGUUUUCUGGGUCUCUUUCGGGAUGUAUUCACCUUCCUAUUCGUCCUUGAAAUCUCGGGUGGAGGAAAGUACACAACCAUGGCAAUCUCAGUUUCCCACUCUUUUCAAGCUAUGUCCUGAAUCAUAGGUCAGAGAUAGAGCUACUCUGGUGCCGAUGUCAUAAGAACAUUAUUAACUCCUACAGGAUUUAUGAGUCAGGCUUAUUGAACAACAACAAAAAAAUUACAUUCAGUGCACAAGACCCCCUCAAAGCAAAUGAGAAAGGAAGUUUGAUGGAGAGUGAUGGCAGCUGAGCGUCCUCAGGGCAAGAGACUCCUGUGCUCAAGCCUCCCGGGAGAAGAAGAGAAAGGCCUUGUGGGUAUAGGCGCUGCCAGCAACAGCCAUGCCACACACACACACACGCACGCACGCACGCACACACACACACACACAGGCUAAAACAAUGAUUUUUUUUGGCUGUGCCCCUAGGAUACAGAAGUUCCUAGGCUAGGGAUGGAACCCACACCACAGCAGGGACCCAAGCCACAGCACUGGCAACACCAGAUCUUUAGCCACUAGACCACCAGGGAACCCCGACGAUUUUUUUAAUGACAAGUGACUUCUGAGUCUCAGUCUAAGGAGAUGCCACCACAAAGUAACAAAACCACCAAAGACUACAGAAACACAGAAUAGGUAACACUAUUUCAAACUGCCAACAUAUCUGCUCAUUUCAAUUACUUGGAAGAGGAGACACACAGAAUAUGGGUAAUAAAAAGCCAACAGUAAUCUACAAAUCUAAUUUUAGAAAAUGGUUCCAAGUCUUCCUACAAGAUCCUUCACAAAAAGAAUUGGCAAGUGUUACAUUUGCAGACAAGAGAGCUUCAGCAGCUGCCUGAGAAGACCUGUUGGAAUCCGGUCUCCCAGGACAGCAGUGCAGGGCAAAGUCACGUGGUCCUCAGCUCUGCCAGGGACCCCAAGGUCUCCCAGGGAUGGGCUCCAGGUGAGUCUGGAGAUGAAGGUCCUGAGAGAGCUGAACACAUGAAGCCCAAAGACAUAGAAAUCUCCAAACACCCAAGGAAUCACUGGCGGGGUCGGGAAUGUGCAGGAGUAAGUGUGAAGUCAUGUCCACUUGAGAAUUAAAGAAAACGUGAUUUCUCUUCCCACCGGCAGGCGGAUAACGGACGGACACCAAGUUACCAUUCUGAAGCAGGUUUUUUGUUUUUUGUUUUUUUUUGUUGUUGUUGUUGUUGUUGCUAUUUCUUGGGCCGCUCCUGCAGCAUAUGGAGGUUCCCAGGGAUGAAAUUAACGUUUACAUCUGUGCGUAAGCGGCUAAUGUGGAUGUAAUGGGAUCUUUUCUUCUUUAGAAUGUGGACAAUAAUUUGUCUCUAAGCAUUUCACAGGGUUUUCUGCUUCAGCCCUUUGGCUUUUCCAAGCCAAAACCUUCCUUCCCACAGCCCAGCAAGACAGAGUACUCAGAACAGCUGGAUUUUAAAAACACCCUUGUGAAUUGGGUCUUUAUUAGGAUAAGCGCGUGCGCGCGCGCGCGCGCGCACACACACACACACACACACACACACACACACACACACAUCACUAAGCUUGGAUCUUCUUUCAUAUUUUAUAUUCCCAGGAUCAAGUUCUAAGUAAGUACUUAUAUCAGGAAACAAAUGACACAUGACACUGCAUGUCUAAUUCAGGCUAAAAAGAGGGAACUGAUAGGCCAAACUGCCAUCAAACUUCCUGAUAAAAGCCAAGAACUGCUCUGUGGUAAUGUUAUGUUUAAUGUGAUCUGUGGUUUUCUCUGCUUAUAUUUGGAAGAUACUCUGGAGCUUAGAAAAAGAUGAAUGUGAAUUUAAUCAAUGAUAAUAGGAAAAUUCCAAAGUGCCAUUUGAAUGCUCUGCAGACCCAAAUACUGUAACCAGAACCUUGAAUCAUCAUUCUGGGUCCAGUGGGGUUUCAGAUCUGUGUCUAUCGUGUAUUCUACAUGCAACACUACACGAGACAUCACGAAUUCAGAGAUCUGGUCUCCCUUGAACAGUUUCGCCUCCCAGUGAAAACAGAUCAGAAUCCCAGGCAAUUGUUAAAAGACCUCACAGUGAAAUACUGAGGCAAAGGAAGAUGUGCAUCAAAGACAUGGUGGCAGGACGACAGAAAAGUAAGAGAGAAGAUAGUGAAUUCAAAGUGAUUUCAAGGGCAGCUGUAUGUACGUAUGUGGCUUCAUGGCUACAGGCAGUUGGCAAGCUAUCCAGUGGAUAAUUAAGACUCUGAAAAGUCUUUUUGUUUCUGGUCUUAUCUGCUCCCUCCCUCCCCAGCCUCCAUCAUCCUUGCAGCAUCAGUGCAGCAGCUUCCUAACCUGGUCUCCCCACUUCCACCUUCAUCCCCUCCCUUCUUCAACAGUCUAUUUUUAGCACGGUGGUCCACGUCAUCCCUGUAAAAAACCAAUUGAAAUCACAUCCCGUUUUGCUUAUCUUCUACUGAUGCCCCAUCUCGCCCCCAGCAAAGGUCAAAGUCCAGCCACGGCCCAAUAAGGCCUCCUAUGGUCUGGUUCCCAUGGUACCGUUCUGACCUCACAGCCCAAUCUUUAAUCUCAUCCCCUGCAUGCUUCCACCCAGAGUUUCGGCACCUGUUGCUCCCUCUACAUAAAACAUCCUUUCCCCACAUGGCUGCCUCCCCCACCCCCCUUGGGGCCCACCUUCUCGUGGAGACCUUCCCUGACUGUUCCACACAGAGCCGCAGCACUCACGCCCAUCCUGACCCCUAGCCCCUAGCCUUCUCUGUAGCACCUAGCCUCUCCUGACUUCUACACAUUUUGCAUCCUGUUUACUGUGUAAUUCCCCACACUCAGUGGUAAUGGUUAUAAGACAGAAAUUCUAUCUCCCCACAGCACUGACUGCUUCAGCGGGGCGGUCUCUUGAUGAAUAGUUACUGUAUGAUUGAAGGAAUGAUGUUUCUCAGCAUCCACGACCUCCUUCUCAGACCUGAAGAAAUAGGUCUCCAUCUGUCACCAGGACACCAACACAGUCUGACCCUGGGUGGUGGUGGGGGGGGCUACCUGAGAGGCGAGGAAUCAUGGCCAGGGCAGAAACAGAAAUGUUGCCUGGACCAGCCUUAUCGACUAGAGGCCAGGAAAGUAUGGUUUAACGGGAAAUAUCAAAGAGUUUGGUAAGAUAGCCAAAUAAGGAGGAAAAAAGAGACAAUCACCCAUGAAAUGACUUAUGAAAAAGAAAGAGAAAAAUAGGAUCAGAGAAGAAAAAACCUAUAUGAAGGAUGGGUUUGAAUGUGUGGGGUUCCUAGACACACUGGGUUCAUACAGCAGAUUUAAAAAGAGCGCUAUGGCAAUUUUGCUAUAACUUCUAAAAGAAGUAUAAUGUCUUUAUCAUCCAUAUGAUUAUUUCACUGUAUUGAAGAAUAGAGAAUGAACAGGGAACUUGCAGAAUACGUUAAUAGGCAAUUCAAAACAGAAACGGCAAAAAACCAAUCAACAUCAUUUUUGUUGAAAAAGUAUGUUUAACCUCACAAGUCAUCAAUGAAGCACACAUUCGAAUAAUAACAAAACCAUUUUCUUAUACGCUGGGUAGGAUUACUAAAAGACAAAUCUGAUGAAUUUCAGAACAAGCAUGAUGGGAGUAUGAAAUGGCAUAACCUUUCUAGAGGAAAAGUUGGCAUUGUUAUGUCAAAGAGUUUUUUAAAUUCAUAUUCUAGUACUCAAUGACAGCAGAAAUAAUUUACUCUAAUUCACCCAUAAUGCUUUCUAUACUUAAAAAACCAUUGCUCCCAGGAAAUGUCAGAGCUGGCACUGGAAUUCAGAUCUUCCAGCUCGAAAGCCCAGGAACCUACUAGGCUCUCAGCCUCCCAAGAGAAGGAAAGUGAGUCUGCAGAACUAAAAGUAGAGAACUGAGAUGCAGAACUACUUUCCGUCUCUCAGUCUAUCAGCAAAUGGGAUGGAAAAUGUUUAAGUGGUUUAAGUCACAUUUUGACCUGCAGAAUAUACCAGAAUCCAGAUCAUUCCCAGCCAAACGAAACAGUACACUGUGUUUAUAAACCCAAGCGCAGAUGACUUCUGACUGUAGGAACCCAUUACCUGCUCACAUCACAAUGAUGUGCUUAGGAAGGUUAACUUAACAAGAAAUUUCCUGACACUCACAUGAAUAAAUGCAUGUACACAUCUGAAUGGAUUUAAGAUGCUCACUCUAGAACUCUUUGCUAAAAAGAGGUUUAACUUGAGAUUCAAAACACCAAUUACUUUGCAGGCUCAAGCUUAAGCAAUUUAGCGUGAUUUUGAAGCCCUUGUCAUAAGAGCAAACAAAAGACAAGCCAGGCUUUGCAGCAUCCUGGCCAGCCUCUAGUUAACCCACCGCCAUGGGAUUUUGCAAGGUUCGUUGCAAACGUGAACAAGACAACCCCAAGCGAGCUGUUCUCUCAGAAUGAACACACUUUGAAGUCAAGAGCCAGGCAAGUGGCAAUGCUAAUCAAGCAAGUGACAGCAUUAAUCUCCUUUGGCUCAGCUUAAAAUAGGCUUUGCCACAGGUGACCCGGAGUCCUUCCCUCCCCUUCUCAAGCCAUUAGCUGAACAUCAUAUUUCUUCCUGGUGCCAGUGCUGGCGCCACCCGGAGCACGAUUCAAACAGGGGGGAAAGAACACACACACUGGAGGAGAGGAGCUUAUUAUUCCGUCUGGAAAUCUCUAUGUUCACCUAGGGCUGGUUCCAAGGAAUUCACCUAAUUUGCCAAAAGUAAUGAGAAGACAGCCCACAACCAGUUAUCCUCUACGUGGUACAGGAGGAUGAGCCACUAAGAACAUUAGGAUUUAAAUUUAAAUUGAGUGUAACAAUGACCAGAGAGAGGCUUAGGUGGCAGGAAACUUCAGGAAGGGAUUGAAACAGAGAUGAAUUCUCAGAAAGAGCAGAGGUGCCGCUCUUCCACUGCAGGGUCUCAACCCUGAUAAGGGGCCACGAGUGAACUAGAUCCAAAGUAUGGAAAGGCAUCUGAAGUCCUGGAGCUUGCCCAGGCUCUGCCCCGAAAGGAUGGCUUAAAGAACAAACCAGAUAGGAAUGUAUAAAUCAUUCUCCAUAAACAAAGGUUCUAUAGAGAAACUAGCAAACCAAAUUCAAGUUCUGCAAUCAUCUCUACAAGUGGAGAAAUGCCCUUGACUCUAAAUUCCAUUCCUUAAAGUUCCAAAUGGCUUGCAAGUUCCCUUUAAAAAAAUGUAACUGUUUUAGUCAUAAACCUGUGUGUCCUUCUCUCCAGGUUUCUUGGGAUCCAGAAUUCUUCCCCUGUGCCCUUUCCUUCAGUCAGCUUCAGAGAAGAGGAUGCUGGUGCCAGCUUUCAGCUCUU
rnacentral:lncRNA from 1 species